rnacentral:rRNA from 1 species
CAGCCGCCGCGGGUAAUACGAAGGGGGCUAGCGUUGCUCGGAAUGACUGGGCGUAAAGGGCGCGUAGGCGGUUUGUACAGUUGGAUGUGAAAUUCCUGGGCUUAACCUGGGGGCUGCAUUCAAUACGUGCAGGCUUGAGUGGGGAAGAGGGUCGUGGAAUUCCCAGUGUAGAGGUGAAAUUCGUAGAUAUUGGGAAGAACACCGGUGGCGAAGGCGGCGACCUGGUCCUUGACUGACGCUGAGGCGCGAAAGCGUGGGGAGCAAACAGGAUUAGAUACCCGUGUAGUCCCUGUCUCUUAUA